rnacentral:rRNA from 1 species
UACGGAGGGUGCAAGCGUUAUCCGGAUUCACUGGGUUUAAAGGGUGCGUAGGCGGCGCGGUAAGUCGGGUGUGAAAUCUCGGGGCUUAACUCCGAAACUGCAUUCGAUACUGCCGUGCUUGAGGACUGGAGAGGAGACUGGAAUUUACGGUGUAGCGGUGAAAUGCGUAGAUAUCGUAAGGAAGACCAGUGGCGAAGGCGGGUCUCUGGACAGUUCCUGACGCUGAGGCACGAAGGUCAGGGGAGCAAACGGG